rnacentral:rRNA from 1 species
CGUGUAGGCGGCCGAUCAAGUCUGAUGUGAAAGCCCGGGGCUCAACCUCGGAAGUGCAUUGGAAACGGGUCGGCUUGAGUACCGGAGAGGAAGGGGGAAUUCCCGGUGUAGCGGUGAAAUGCGUAGAUAUCGGGAGGAAUACCGGUGGCGAAGGCGCCCUUCUGGACGGAUACUGACGCUGAGACGCGAAAGCGUGGGGAGCAAACA